CCUCACUCCCAUCCAUACACUCACACACCCAGCCUCCCACCUUUAAUGUGUGUGGAUGGGACUAAGGUUUUCUCAUUUCUUUCAGAUUGUGCGCCUCCGAGGUGAACGUCUGACUGAAGUGAACGUGUGGCUGGUCGAGAACUCCUCCAAACAGGUAAAGUACUUAUGACAAUAUAUAAUGUCUAUAUGCAAGUAUUUAUGAAUGUUAUGUUUUAAAGUUUUUUGUAUUCCAGGUUUGUUUGUGUGGCUGACUGGACCUACUACAAGGUGCUUCUUGGAGGUAAUAAAGAUACAUCAGUGAUGGUGAGGCCGUCACAUUACCAGCGGUUGUGGAUUUCACAAUUCAACCUUUAUAUUGCAGACUCCACAUAAGGUAAAACACUUCCAUUCAGCAAUUGGUGUGCAGUGUCCAGAUUGUCAACAUUUAGUUCAGUAUGAUGUUACUUCUGGCCAGCUUAACCUGAGGAGAAAGUCAGUACAGUACACGAUUAGAUUUUGAAAAGGAAACUGCAAAAUCUCAUGGUGUUGUCCCGACCUCCGUAAAGUGUCAUUAAUGCAAGAACGAAUGUAAGUGUCGUCAAGACCAACAUGUGGUAACUCCAACGAGAACCAGGCCAAUAAGGUAAGAAAUAAGGGAUUCCAACAUAUGGCGAGAGUCGGUUAGAUUAGGUCCGGUUUAUGUUUUUAUAGGUUUUUUUUUUGCAUU
rnacentral:lncRNA from 1 species